rnacentral:lncRNA from 1 species
ACAACCACGCUCCCUUCCUCAGAGGCAAGGACUACAGAAAACCGCAGGACUUAAACUAACGGAAAGGGAACAUCUUUAACAAGCACAAGGCCCUGCAUUUGAUCCUAUGGACAUGAAAACCCUGGUCCUACUCUGUAUAAGAAGGGUGUCUCAAAAAUAAGAUAAAAUUUUAAAAAAGGAAGAGUUAGGCUUUUUCCGUUUUAAAGCUGCUUGGUUGUUUCUGAAGGACGGUUACUGAACACCUGCACACUCCGAGACUGCGGCAGAGCUGACAAGCUCCCGCCAGAGCUGAUCCCGCGCAUCCCCAGUCAAGUGAGCCGGACGGCACCAGCCCUUCAACACCGAUGGCAUGCGGGGCACUGGUACUAUAAGGGGUGGGUGUGGGGGGGCAUACUUACUUCAACACCCGAUGGCAUUUUAAGGUCAGCAUGAAUCAGACCAAGACUCUUCAGCUUCAUCAGGGCUGUGGCCACCUGCUGCAAGAUUGGUCUUAUGUACUUGAGUGGCAGUGGGCUAAACUUGUUCUGCUUUAGAAAAUCGUACAAGUUCUGCUCCAACAUCUCAAACACAAGGCAGGAGGGGUGGUUCUUCAAGAUCUUAAUGGCCACAAUUUCCUUGGUGCUCCGCUUCCAGCACUUUGCCACCUGUCCAAAUGUCCCCCGGCCUAGGAACUCCAGGACUUCAUAGCUGUUGGUCAUAGAGCAAAGGAUCUCAUGCUGGACCAGCUGGUAAUCCCCUUCUCCGCUGGAACUGCUACUCUUGGUGGUCACAGUGGUGGUCGUGGCAGCAGCACCCACCACGGUUCUGUUCUGCAGCAUGAGAGGGGGGUGUUCUUCUAUGAUCUGCACGCUACCGUUGCUCUCCACUUCCUCACUCUUUCUCUUCAAUCCACAUUUUUGAUAUGGCUCAAGCAAAGAAACGUUGCUCCUGUGAGUCAGGGUCUGGCUGCUUUGGAAGGUUGCUGUAGCGGCGCUGCCUGAGCUAUCAGCAGCUGUUACCACAAUAUGCUCCACGGCAGGAGCUGGGAGAAGGAGGCCCUGGUCGUAAGCAGGAAGAUUGAAAUUUGCUACCUGGUUCUUUGCACUGCAGAAGGCACUCGACGACACUGAUGGGGGCGAAAACACCUGCAGCUGUGAGGCCAUACCUACACGGAGAGAAGGAAGAAUGAGACCACAGGGCUCACGAUGCGAAGCUCACCAACAGCUCAUGUGAGAACAGGUGUAGCUGAUAAGACCACACUGUACUGUCUCCCUCCUCUCAAAGGAGUUUUCCAUUCUUUGGGCAUUAAAGCUAAAAGAUCUUCAAAACAGAUCUUGUGGUGCAGGCCUUUAAUCCCAACUUCUCAAGAGGCUGAGACAGGAGAAUCAAAAGAAGGUUCCAAGGAUACCCGGCCAGGCGCCUAACAAGCACCUCUGCUCACUAAGCCAUGUUUCCAGCUCAAGAAUACAGUUUUUGUAAAUGUAAAACAAGAGCCGGGCAGUGGUGGCACACACCUUUAAUCCUAGCACUCAGGAGGCAGAGGCAAGCAGAUCUCGAGGCCAGCCUGGUCUACAGAAGGAGUUCCAGGACAGCCAGGGCUACACAGAGAAACACUGUCACAAAAAUAAAAUAAAAUAAAUAAAUAAAAUAAACAAAAGAACAAACGAAAGAAAUGGGAGGAAAAGAAAAGAAGGAAAGAGAAAGAAAUGACAGACAAGAGGUGCUGGGGGGGGGGGAGGAAGAUCUGGUUUGAUUUUAAAUCUCAUUACUGAUCAACUUGCUCUAAAAUCUGUAAACUACAAUGUCCAGAGAUCAACUGUUCAGGACGCUAUCAAAAAAACGACCUGCCAACCAGCGCCAACAUUUUUGUCAGCUGCUUUACCGGUUUGGCAGCCUCUAGCUUCAAUCUCAAAAACUUUACCGAAAUAUUCUUCAAACCA